rnacentral:rRNA from 1 species
AGAGUUUCAUCCUGGCUCAGGAUGAACGCUGGCGGCGUGCCUAACACAUGCAAGUCGAACGGAACUGCGAGAGCUUGCUUUUGCAGUUUAGUGGCGGACGGGUGAGUAAUGUAUGAGCAACCUGCCUUUCAGAGGGGGACAACAGUUGGAAACGACUGCUAAUACCGCAUAACACAUGUUGGAGGCAUCUCCGAUAUGUCAAAGAUUUAUCGCUGAAAGAUGGGCUCGCGUCUGAUUAGAUAGUUGGUGAGGUAACGGCCCACCAAGUCUGCGAUCAGUAGCCGGACUGAGAGGUUGAACGGCCACAUUGGGACUGAGAUACGGCCCAGACUCCUACGGGAGGCAGCAGUGGGGAAUAUUGGGCAAUGGGCGAAAGCCUGACCCAGCAACGCCGCGUGAAGGAAGAAGGUCUUCGGAUUGUAAACUUCUUUUAUGAGGGACGAAGGACGUGACGGUACCUCAUGAAUAAGCCACGGCUAACUACGUGCCAGCAGCCGCGGUAAUACGUAGGUGGCAAGCGUUAUCCGGAUUUACUGGGUGUAAAGGGCGCGUAGGCGGGAAGGCAAGUCAGGUGUGAAAUCUAUGGGCUUAACCCAUAAACUGCACUUGAAACUGUCUUUCUUGAGUGCUGGAGAGGUAGACGGAAUUCCUUGUGUAGCGGUGAAAUGCGUAGAGAUCGGGAGGAACACCAGUGGCGAAGGCGGCCUGCUGGGCUUUAACUGACGCUGAGGCACGAAAGUGUGGGGAGCAAACAGGAUUAGAUACCCUGGUAGUCCACACUGUAAACGAUGAAUGCUAGGUGUAGGAGGUAUCGACCCCUUCUGUGCCGGAGUCAACACAAUAA